rnacentral:rRNA from 1 species
ACCUGCAGUCGAGCGGGGGAAGGUAGCUUGCUACUGGACCUAGCGGCGGACGGGUGAGUAAUGCUUAGGAAUCUGCCUAUUAGUGGGGGACAACAUCUCGAAAGGGAUGCUAAUACCGCAUACGUCCUACGGGAGAAAGCAGGGGAUCUUCGGACCUUGCGCUAAUAGAUGAGCCUAAGUCGGAUUAGCUAGUUGGUGGGGUAAAGGCCUACCAAGGCGACGAUCUGUAGCGGGUCUGAGAGGAUGAUCCGCCACACUGGGACUGAGACACGGCCCAGACUCCUACGGGAGGCAGCAGUGGGGAAUAUUGGACAAUGGGGGGAACCCUGAUCCAGCCAUGCCGCGUGUGUGAAGAAGGCCUUAUGGUUGUAAAGCACUUUAAGCGAGGAGGAGGCUACUUUAGUUAAUACCUAGGGAUAGUGGACGUUACUCGCAGAAUAAGCACCGGCUAACUCUGUGCCAGCAGCCGCGGUAAUACAGAGGGUGCGAGCGUUAAUCGGAUUUACUGGGCGUAAAGCGUGCGUAGGCGGCUUAUUAAGUCGGAUGUGAAAUCCCCGAGCUUAACUUGGGAAUUGCAUUCGAUACUGGUGAGCUAGAGUAUGGGAGAGGAUGGUAGAAUUCCAGGUGUAGCGGUGAAAUGCGUAGAGAUCUGGAGGAAUACCGAUGGCGAAGGCAGCCAUCUGGCCUAAUACUGACGCUGAGGUACGAAAGCAUGGGGAGCAAACAGGAUUAGAUACCCUGGUAGUCCAUGCCGUAAACGAUGUCUACUAGCCGUUGGGGCCUUUGAGGCUUUAGUGGCGCAGCUAACGCGAUAAGUAGACCGCCUGGGGAGUACGGUCGCAAGACUAAAACUCAAAUGAAUUGACGGGGGCCCGCACAAGCGGUGGAGCAUGUGGUUUAAUUCGAUGCAACGCGAAGAACCUUACCUGGCCUUGACAUACUAGAAACUUUCCAGAGAUGGAUUGGGCCUUCGGGAAUCUAGAUACAGGCUGCAUGGU